rnacentral:rRNA from 1 species
GUUUGAUCCUGGCUCAGGACGAACGCUGGCGGCGUGCUUAACACAUGCAAGUCAAGGGGGCCCAGCAAUGGGCAACCGGCGAACGGGUGCGUAACACGUGAGCAACCUACCGAACUGUGGGGGAUAGCCGGCCUAACGGCCGAGUAAUACCGCAUACGCUUUCAGUGAGGCAUUUCAUUGAAAGGAAACCUACGGGACAGAUCGAGGGGCUCGCGGCCUAUCAGCUAGUUGGUGAGGUAACGGCUCACCAAGGCAACGACGGGUAGCUGGUCUGAGAGGAUGGCCAGCCACAUUGGGACUGAGAUACGGCCCAGACUCCUACGGGAGGCAGCAGUGGGGAAUCUUGCGCAAUGGCCUAACGGCUGACGCAGCGACGCCGCGUGUGGGAUGAAGCUCUUCGGAGUGUAAACCACUGUUGCCCGGGACGAACAGCUCGAUUAAUCGAGCCUGACGGUACCGGGUGAGGAAGCACCGGCUAACUCCGUGCCAGCAGCCGCGGUAAUACGGGGGGUGCGAGCGUUGUCCGGAAUCACUGGGCGUAAAGGGCGCGUAGGUGGUUUGAUAAGGGUGUGGUGAAAGUCCGGGGCUCAACCCCGGAUCUGCCGUGCCGACUGUCAAACUCGAGGGCUGUAGAGGCAGACGGAAUUCCGGGUGUAGCGGUGGAAUGCGUAGAGAUCCGG